GGUUAAGCGACUAAGCGUACACGGUGGAUGCCCUGGCAGUCAGAGGCGAUGAAGGACGUGCUAAUCUGCGAUAAGCGUCGGUAAGGUGAUAUGAACCGUUAUAACCGGCGAUUUCCGAAUGGGGAAACCCAGUGUGUUUCGACACACUAUCAUUAACUGAAUCCAUAGGUUAAUGAGGCGAACCGGGGGAACUGAAACAUCUAAGUACCCCGAGGAAAAGAAAUCAACCGAGAUUCCCCCAGUAGCGGCGAGCGAACGGGGAGCAGCCCAGAGCCUGAAUCAGUGUGUGUGUUAGUGGAAGCGUCUGGAAAGGCGCGCGAUACAGGGUGACAGCCCCGUACACAAAAAUGCACAUACUGUGAGCUCGAUGAGUAGGGCGGGACACGUGGUAUCCUGUCUGAAUAUGGGGGGACCAUCCUCCAAGGCUAAAUACUCCUGACUGACCGAUAGUGAACCAGUACCGUGAGGGAAAGGCGAAAAGAACCCCGGCGAGGGGAGUGAAAAAGAACCUGAAACCGUGUACGUACAAGCAGUGGGAGCACAGAGCAAUCUGUGUGACUGCGUACCUUUUGUAUAAUGGGUCAGCGACUUAUAUUCUGUAGCAAGGUUAACCGAAUAGGGGAGCCGAAGGGAAACCGAGUCUUAACUGGGCGUUAAGUUGCAGGGUAUAGACCCGAAACCCGGUGAUCUAGCCAUGGGCAGGUUGAAGGUUGGGUAACACUAACUGGAGGACCGAACCGACUAAUGUUGAAAAAUUAGCGGAUGACUUGUGGCUGGGGGUGAAAGGCCAAUCAAACCGGGAGAUAGCUGGUUCUCCCCGAAAGCUAUUUAGGUAGCGCCUCGUGAAUUCAUCUCCGGGGGUAGAGCACUGUUUCGGCAAGGGGGUCAUCCCGACUUACCAACCCGAUGCAAACUGCGAAUACCGGAGAAUGUUAUCACGGGAGACACACGGCGGGUGCUAACGUCCGUCGUGAAGAGGGAAACAACCCAGACCGCCAGCUAAGGUCCCAAAGUCAUGGUUAAGUGGGAAACGAUGUGGGAAGGCCCAGACAGCCAGGAUGUUGGCUUAGAAGCAGCCAUCAUUUAAAGAAAGCGUAAUAGCUCACUGGUCGAGUCGGCCUGCGCGGAAGAUGUAACGGGGCUAAACCAUGCACCGAAGCUGCGGCAGCGACGCUUAUGCGUUGUUGGGUAGGGGAGCGUUCUGUAAGCCUGUGAAGGUGUGCUGUGAGGCAUGCUGGAGGUAUCAGAAGUGCGAAUGCUGACAUAAGUAACGAUAAAGCGGGUGAAAAGCCCGCUCGCCGGAAGACCAAGGGUUCCUGUCCAACGUUAAUCGGGGCAGGGUGAGUCGACCCCUAAGGCGAGGCCGAAAGGCGUAGUCGAUGGGAAACAGGUUAAUAUUCCUGUACUUGGUGUUACUGCGAAGGGGGGACGGAGAAGGCUAUGUUGGCCGGGCGACGGUUGUCCCGGUUUAAGCGUGUAGGCUGGUUUUCCAGGCAAAUCCGGAAAAUCAAGGCUGAGGCGUGAUGACGAGGCACUACGGUGCUGAAGCAACAAAUGCCCUGCUUCCAGGAAAAGCCUCUAAGCAUCAGGUAACAUCAAAUCGUACCCCAAACCGACACAGGUGGUCAGGUAGAGAAUACCAAGGCGCUUGAGAGAACUCGGGUGAAGGAACUAGGCAAAAUGGUGCCGUAACUUCGGGAGAAGGCACGCUGAUAUGUAGGUGAGGUCCCUCGCGGAUGGAGCUGAAAUCAGUCGAAGAUACCAGCUGGCUGCAACUGUUUAUUAAAAACACAGCACUGUGCAAACACGAAAGUGGACGUAUACGGUGUGACGCCUGCCCGGUGCCGGAAGGUUAAUUGAUGGGGUUAGCGGUAACGCGAAGCUCUUGAUCGAAGCCCCGGUAAACGGCGGCCGUAACUAUAACGGUCCUAAGGUAGCGAAAUUCCUUGUCGGGUAAGUUCCGACCUGCACGAAUGGCGUAAUGAUGGCCAGGCUGUCUCCACCCGAGACUCAGUGAAAUUGAACUCGCUGUGAAGAUGCAGUGUACCCGCGGCAAGACGGAAAGACCCCGUGAACCUUUACUAUAGCUUGACACUGAACAUUGAGCCUUGAUGUGUAGGAUAGGUGGGAGGCUUUGAAGUGUGGACGCCAGUCUGCAUGGAGCCGGCCUUGAAAUACCACCCUUUAAUGUUUGAUGUUCUAACGUUGGCCCCUGAUCGGGGUUGCGGACAGUGUCUGGUGGGUAGUUUGACUGGGGCGGUCUCCUCCUAAAGAGUAACGGAGGAGCACGAAGGUUGGCUAAUCCUGGUCGGACAUCAGGAGGUUAGUGCAAUGGCAUAAGCCAGCUUGACUGCGAGCGUGACGGCGCGAGCAGGUGCGAAAGCAGGUCAUAGUGAUCCGGUGGUUCUGAAUGGAAGGGCCAUCGCUCAACGGAUAAAAGGUACUCCGGGGAUAACAGGCUGAUACCGCCCAAGAGUUCAUAUCGACGGCGGUGUUUGGCACCUCGAUGUCGGCUCAUCACAUCCUGGGGCUGAAGUAGGUCCCAAGGGUAUGGCUGUUCGCCAUUUAAAGUGGUACGCGAGCUGGGUUUAGAACGUCGUGAGACAGUUCGGUCCCUAUCUGCCGUGGGCGCUGGAGAACUGAGGGGGGCUGCUCCUAGUACGAGAGGACCGGAGUGGACGCAUCACUGGUGUUCGGGUUGUCAUGCCAAUGGCACUGCCCGGUAGCUAAAUGCGGAAGAGAUAAGUGCUGAAAGCAUCUAAGCACGAAACUUGCCCCGAGAUGAGUUCUCCCUGACUCCUUGAGAGUCCUGAAGGAACGUUGAAGACGACGACGUUGAUAGGCCGGGUGUGUAAGCGCAGCGAUGCGUUGAGCUAACCGGUACUAAUGAACCGUGAGGCUUAACCUU
rnacentral:rRNA from 1 species